rnacentral:rRNA from 1 species
ACGCUCGACACCUACGGGAGCAGCAGUGGGGAAUAUUGCACAAUGGGGGAAACCCUGAUGCAGCGACGCCGCGUGAAGGAAGAAGUAUCUCGGUAUGUAAACUUCUAUCAGCAGGGAAGAAAGUGACGGUACCUGACUAAGAAGCCCCGGCUAACUACGUGCCCGCAGCCGCGGUAAUCUGAGCGGGCUGGCAAGGC